UACGUAGGGGGGCUAGCGUUGUCCGGAAUCAUUGGGCGUAAAGCGCGUGUAGGCGGUCCGGUAAGUCCGCUGUGAAAGUCGGGGGCUCAACCCUCGAAAGCCGGUGGAUACUGUCGGGCUAGAGUGCGGAAGAGGCGAGUGGAAUUCCUGGUGUAGCGGUGAAAUGCGCAGAUAUCAGGAAGAACACCAACGGCGAAGGCAGCUCGCUAGGACGGUACUGACGCUGAGACGCGAAAGCGUGGAGAGCGAACAGG
rnacentral:rRNA from 1 species